CAGAGGAGGAGUCGUUCAAUUGAUCGUCAAAAGUUUGAUUCUGACAGUAAAAUUUCAUACUUACUGAAUGAGGCUGUUGGUGUCUGUGGUAGUCAAUUAGAUGAUUUUAGCAACUAGUUCAUUUGCAUAGAAAGAGGCCUAUACCACCCCCAAUAAAUGAAUAAUGGUUCAUUCAAGUAUAUGUCAAAACAUAAGCACACAAGGGCACUAUUUCCUCUGCAGCACAAUUUGAGAUGCACCAAACCUUUCUCUUAUAUUUUACAUGGCUCAUAGUCCCUCCAAAGUUCAAAUUUUCUAAUUUUUCAGUCAUAAGAUUUCUAGCAACACACUUGGGGAAUAAUUUCCCCAAAAAUGGAUGAAAUGUGUUUGGAAGGACGCCUUCAUUUUUAAACUAAAGUGGCCAAUAAAGAUUAUAAAUGACCUCAGGAAAGCGGGGCCGCAGAGCAGGCUGUGCAGGUACAAGUCAUCUCCACAUUCAUGACUCUUGUGAGGAUACUUCUCUGCCAGAACUCAGCAGAUUACAAAUGACUGCUCAGCACAUGCAGCAUAUGGACGCUCUUUGGAUUGGCAACACUGAGGAAACUUCAAAAUCAUCAUUAUUCACCAUAAAAUGAAGUCCUGCUGAUUGAUGCUGAUUGACGGUGACAUUUCCAGCAUUUAUGGGACGUAUCACAGCUGCCCCUUUGACUCCCAUUCAUUCAGCUUAUAAGAGGACGACAUUUCUGCAGAUGACUGUGACCUCCACUUUGUCUUGAUUCCUACACGAGUUAUCUGAGUAUCCUUUUUUUAUUAAGUUUGUGUAUCCAUGAAGUUUCAGCGAGGGGAAUUACACCGGUGUUACUACUGAAGGUUUAAAGUGGCGGACUGAGGUGACCCGGCUCGACCGCGAGGGCAGAGGGCUCGAUAAAAACGACAAAGCAUGAAACUAUAGAUCACUCUCCAAAGCAGGAGCGGAGUUAACCCUGGAAACCUGUGGAGCUGUGAGGUUCAAAGAGUGCAGGCCUCGAGUUAUUUGUUUAGGGUUGAACUGCGCUGAAAUAGACCUACUGAGUUACUGAGGCCAUAGCUCACCAGUGCCCCUCUUCCUGCAGGGGUCAAAGGUCACUGUUGCUGUAGAGCUGGAGAAGCUCUUGUUGUAGCUUUACGGAGAGUGUAAGAAAAGAACAAAGAGAGAGAGAGUCAGCGGUAAAAGCACCACAAAUAUAAUCGUAUUAUGAGCUCAUUUUUUUGGCUGCUUUUGACAGACGUCAUGGUAGCACACGCUGUAAUGAUCUACUGCUCUGCUGUAUGUCUUACUAAACCACAAAGCACGGUUUCUGUAGCCCUUUUCUCGUCAUGUUUGCUGUUUUUCUAUAGGUUAUCCUAGGUGGCCCGCUGUUCCAUACAGAUCCCCCAAACCGCACACGCUAUAAACUAUUUACAGAGCUGAGAGUAACAUCCGUAAAGGCUUCCCAAACCCCGGUCCAUCUUUGUCUCUCUGGAUAAAAUGCCUUCAAAAUUACACACUGUGGAGAGUCACAGUCUGAGUUUUAUAUCUAUAAAGUUCAAUUUAAAGCGAGAUAUUUCAAGAAGGCAUUAUUUAGAGUGUUACACUGAGCUGAUAACUGCUCUGAAAAUGGAUUUGAUGGAUGUUUGAGACAGUGAGGCAGGACUCCCAAGAGAGAACAAGAUACAUUCGAAGGUUGAUGUAUUUUUUUAAACAAAGAAGAAGAAGUCAGAGAAAGAAUUGGUCUGCAUUUUAAAGGGAUUCAAUUCCUAAUUUUUCAUGUACACAUUCAGCCGCAAUAAUCUUAAUGAAAAAUAAAGUAAAUUUCCUUUAAAUUUUCUGUACUUCUUUGAGUAGCUCGGGUUUUAAUUUUAGGAAAACAGAUUUUAAUCAACUACAUUUUCACCAGCAAGGGCCACACCAUCAACAGGUGACAAGUGAGUCAUGAAGUGGUUUUAUAAAAUCAGGUUAUUCUGAAUUUUGGUGUUGCUGUUGGUUUGAGGAAGUUUAGGGGAUCUUCCAUAGCUCCUGUAGGCACAACCGACCCUCUUAGACACCCCCACUCAACAAUAGACGGCUAUUAGACUUCUAGUUUUAUUUUAGACCUAAUUUCAACCGUCUAGAUUCUGUAUAUUUUUAGACAAAAUUUAGAUGUUGCACUUUAACCCAUUAUUUAGAAACUGUUUAUUUCAAAAAGUAACUGUGAGUUGCAUAAAUGAUCUCCAAGAACUUAUCCAAAAUAAUGAUGAUAGCUGUUGAGGAAUAUUCAGUGUAGUAUAGAUGCAGCACAGAUUUAGAUUUGGUCUAAACUUGGUCUGAAUUCAGACGUCUAAAAAACUUUCAUUUUUAGACCUGCGGGAGCCUGAUUUUAGACCAGUCAUAUAGGCUAGACGUCUAUUAGACCUCUUUUAGACCAAAGAAUGCUCAGUGAGCCCCCUGAAAAAGACAGAAAUUAAGGGAAAAGAGUGAGAGAGAAGGGGUGAGUUUAAAAGCCUGGCCGGGCCAUCCUGUUGCACGAAUCACUUGCCGUUCCUUCCCACAACAGUCUGGACUUCGGCCCAUUGGGAGCGUGUAUUAGCGAUCAGAAAAUAACCGGGCCAAUCAGAGACCGUGUUUCCGCUGUUCCCUGGACAACAGGGAAAGUCAGCCCCUGAUUGGUCCAUUUGUAGAUGGUGACGUCUAACACAUGCUGCGGGACUUUUCAAAGCGCUGUUCAUUCAGAACGCCGUUAAUUCUGCAGUUGACUCUGCAAAGUCAGCAGAAAUCAUUUAUAUCCGACGUCUUCUGCGGAUAUAAACGAUUUCUGCCGACUUUGCAUGAGCUCUCUUGGUCGACCUAAAGCCCGUGUUUGAAGUUUCUGUAACAACGAAAAAUCCAUAUCAUCAUAAAUGUCCCCUCUGUUAGAUGAAGUUCUACAGAAACUCACUAUCAACCCGAGAAAAGUCGGUUUAACCCAAAAAGGACUCAACAUUUGUAUUUGCAGGCGUCCCCUCGCCAACAAAGUCAGAUCCAGUGGCUCCAAAGACCAGCCCCUGUGUAUGUUGUCUCAUGCCCAAAGAGACAGGGUCCCCGUGUCACAGACCUGUGGGGCCAACAUGUCGGGUGUCUCGUUUCAUAGUCAUAAUCAAAAGCAUGCUGAUCUAAUUAUCAUAAUGUGAGCUUAUAGCCAUAUCUUAGAUAAACUAUCGCCCAAAUACUUUGCCCGAUGGGGACCUGUUUUUCUUAGCCAAUCAAUUUCCUCGGCGGCUGCCAAGGAUUAUCUCCAAGGCUGAUUCAGCCCCCCUGCCACAGGCUGCAAAAUGCUGUCCCUGUCCUGCUUAUUUUGCCUUCUCUCUGCACGUUUAGCUCCGUUUGUUGAUCUUGGUCAUGCUUUUCUUCAGAGGAGCUGAGCUGCUUUCGUCUGCUCCGUCUGGCCGAGCUUUGACACUGACUGGACUCGGGAUCGCGCCGCAGACCCAGAAUACACAAACGUCACUGGUCAGAGGGCCGUAGAGAGGCGCGAGGAAACACUCGGCGGGACCACACAGCCAUCAAACCUGUCUCACCGUGCAAUUUGAGCAAAUUCACUGAAUGCAACUUUGCGGUGACUCCGGCUUCUUCCUUUUUGUUUAACUUUUCCUCGGCAGAGUGAAGGGGAAAUACAGGAAGAGCCUCAGAGCUGUGUAUUUUCGCAGGAAGCUCAGAAAGAAAUGGAGGAUCACAGAACCUUGAUUCACAACCGCAGGGGUCGGCUAAACAAAAUAAAUGCAAAAUAAAGCAAUUUUUGAGAAAAGAAGAGGGGCUGAUGGUGAACAGUUUCCUAAAGAGCAAAAAAAUUGCCCAAUUAGGUUUGUCCGGAGGUCUCCUCUCUCAUGGAGGGAGAGUAAAAAUAGUCUAGGAGAUCUUGUACAUUCGAGAAUAAAUUGGUGUAUAUUGGCAAGCAUUAAUAAAACCUCAGAACAUGAGAAUCGUAGCGUUCUUAAACUAAUGGCCAGUAUUUCUCUUUUUAUGAAUGUUCUGCCUCAUUUAAAGUGACUUUUGGACAGAGACGUUGAUGUCGGUACUUAAAAACCUCUGCAUGAAAUCAGAGUAAUAGCUCAUAUUUUCCAACAUUACGACUUUCCCGUCUUUUCCGCGAUGCAUUCACUGUCCUGUUAUGAACUACUGACCAAUGCGGUUUGGUGAUGAAUAGACAAAGGAUGUAGAAAGUGAAGUGGGAAAGUUGGUGGAAAUGUUAUCGAAGCUGUGAACAGUCUUUGUGGGAUUCCCACGAAAAGGAAAAAUAACUAUCUGUCAGAAAAUCCCAGAAAAGAGAAUCUAAUCUGACUUCUCCUGGAGAUUAUUUUAGCACUUCUUACUUAGAAAAACAGAAUCUGGCUCGCACUAUUAGACUUCCAAGGACAAAGCCCAUUGUUCACACGUUGUUAGUGGUUUCCACAGUAGAAAAAAAAUGAAAAACAGAGCAUGUGUUGAAGUCAGCUUCUCUGUUUUCCCCCAUUAAUAGUUUCCAAACUCUUGUCUGUCCUGAUUUUUUUACAACGUUCACGGUUUGUUAGAUAUUUAGAGGCGCAGAGAGAAGAAGUUAAUCUUUAUUUUCCUGUAGAGGGAAGUCACGGCUGGACGUCUGGGCUCACAGUCUGCUUUGUUUUCAGUAGGAAAAAGCAGGUUGGACAAUAUUUGCUCAUAGUGCCAAAGAAGGUUUCCUUUUGUCAUGAAAUAACAGCCUGUAAACAUGGCUGCCUGAACACAGACGAAGCAAUACUUAAAAAAAACUAAAAUACUACAGCUGGCACGGUUUUUAUGUCCCUCAAAAGACGAGAGAAUUGAUAUUAUUUUGUUUUUGAAUGAUCGAAAAUCCAAUUGAAGCAGCAAAACCGACAAUAAAUUAAAUCCACUUGCUGGUGCAGCCAAAGGCUUUAAUGUCUCACUUAGAGCUCUAUGGUGUAAAAUGGACUGAAGACAAAGAGGAAAACUAGAAUUCAUGGAUGCACACAGUCCAAAGACCAACAUGAUGGAGAUGCAUGGGAACCCAUGUUUUAGAAAUGUAAGGGCCCUUUGAUUUCUGCGUUAAUAGAAUUGUGGACCGAAUUAGGAAUUGGCCAAUUAAAACAGAAUCCAUUGUUAAACGUGGAAUUUCGCAGAAAUCGGCAUAGUGUGACUGAAAUGCUGUAAUUGCGAGGAGAAGGAAUGUUUGUCUUGGGAAAUUUUACGGGGAACCCUCAUCUGUGGCACCACCCGUGCAUCAUUUCACAAACAACCUGUCUGCCUCCAAAGUACAGAGCCGAACAAUAUCCAAAUGGCUUUAAAGAAUCAGGUGACACGAUUUUCGGCAAAUUCUGUCGACAUAUUGUUGUGACUAAAUCACGUUGGCCUGUCAUGGCCGUAAUUUAGCCCAAAAAAGACGUUGAAAACUGGGCUUCAUUUAGACGGUCCGAAUCUAGACCCAUCAUCUAAAACCCAUGUGAAAAACAAAGAAAAACACGUUACAAUUGAAUCGUACAUUCAGUUAUUUCUUUCGCUCAACCAUCUAAAAAUCAUUCAAACUUUGUUCUUAAAGCACUUAUUGGUACAUUGUUAUGAUACAACAUUAUGUUUUGACUUGAAAUACUGGGCAAUGAUGUAUUAGAGCUAUAAAUUUAGGAAUAUUUGCAUUUUAUUAAAACAGAAUUUGGAAAAAAUAAAAUGGAUUUCAUAGGGCCCUAGAAGUGGGGUUGUAGGGACGACUGUGGGUCAGUAGUAGAGUCAGCUGUCUGUCAGAUGGACAGUCUGGGUUCAAUCCCAGGUCCUUUGAAAAGAGCCUACACCCAGGGGUCACAUGGAUGGGAUUUGCCAAAUAAAUAUGAUUUAGUUGUAGUUGUUGUAGUUUAACUAAAGGACACAUCUUAUUGUGGUUAUUGUCUAAAGAAAUCAUGAUGGAUUUGUACGUAUGAGUCACAGAAAAGACUUCAUCUAAUACAUGAAUGAAUGUGUUUUCUGCUUUCUUGGCAGUGGUCGACGGUAGGAGGAAUUUAGAGUAACCUCCAGCCUUAUUCUCCAGAUCGUACCCUGUAGCAGGAGCUAAAGUGCAUCUGAAGUUCAGCAGAUAUCCCUUAAAGUGAAACAUACACUAAGUCUACAUCUGUGCCAAUAGUUUGUGUUCUCACUUCGAGGGUCACGUCACUUUGCCCUUUCCGGGUGUUACGAAGACAUCACAUGUGUUUCAGCUUGCCAGAAACCCCAAGAAACCAAAUUUGAUUUGCAGCAUCCAUCAAGUGUUGUCUUCUAGCAUUCAAGUAUUUGCAUUCAAGGGGAAAAAGAAACCCGAAGCUGUCAUCUGUUUCAGCUUCAGCAGUUUCUGUUUCAAUUUUUCAUAUCAGACCCGCUGAAAGACGUGGGUAUUGUCUGACUUAUUUUUUCUUGCACCGCAUGAGAUCUUUCCACUUGGAAUCUUCCAGGCUGCUGUUUAUUCGAUAACAGUAAAACUCGUUUGUUCUCCAGCUCUGAUCCAAAAGUUAUAAAGAGUAGAAGUUUUCUACUGCCUUCACGCACCGUUUCUAACAAAAGACGUUUAAGAGCAAACGGAAAAAAAGGCCACCCUGGACGGUUUCCUUCCACUUUGCUCUCCAAAAAACCAGAGGUGGUAUGUUCAUCUUUAUAGCAUUUAUACCAAAC
rnacentral:lncRNA from 1 species